UCCGAGUUGUAAUUUAGAGAAGCGUUUUCCGCGCUGGACCGUGCACAAGUCUCCUGGAAUGGAGCGUCAUAGAGGGUGAGAAUCCCGUCUUUGGCACGGACACACCAGGGCUUUUGUGAUGCGCUCUCGAAGAGUCGAGUUGUUUGGGAAUGCAGCUCAAAAUGGGUGGUGAACUCCAUCUAAAGCUAAAUAUUGGCGAGAGACCGAUAGCGAACAAGUACCGUGAGGGAAAGAUGAAAAGCACUUUGGAAAGAGAGUGAAACAGUACGUGAAAUUGUUGAAAGGGAAACGCUUGAAGUCAGUCGCGUCGACCGAGACUCAGCCUUGCCUUGGCUUGGUGUACUUCUCGGCUGACGGGUCAGCAUCAAUUUUGCCCCUUGGAUAAUGGCGAGGGAAAUGUGACACCUUUAUGGUGUGUUAUAGUCCCUUGUCGCAUGCAAGGGUUGGGAUUGAGGAACUCAGCACGCACCUUUGGGUGUCGGGGCUUUGCCCACGAUACGUGCUUAGGAUGUUGGCGUAAUGGCUUUAAACGACCCGUCUUGAAACACGGACCAAGGAGUCUAACAUGCCUGCGAGUGUUCGGGUGGAAAACCCGUGCGCGCAAUGAAAGUGAAAGUUGGGACCUCUGUCGUGGAGGGCACCGACGCCCGGACCAGACCUUCUGUGACGGCUCUGCGGUAAAGCAUGUAUGUUAGGACCCGAAAGAUGGUGAACUAUGCCUGACUAUGGUGAAGCCAGAGGAAACUCUGGUGGAGGCUCGUAGCGAUUCUGACGUGCAAAUCGAUCGUCAAAUUUGGGUAUAGGGGCGAAAGACUAAUCGAACCAU
rnacentral:rRNA from 1 species